CCCAAUUCGUUCAGUUGCCUUUUUUAUUUAUCGAAGAAUGCUUUGAAAACUUUUGCUUCGUCAAUUGACAAUUGUAGGCGUGCUUUGGUGCAUAUUGCGUGGUUGAAAUGUCACACGAAAAUUACGCACGUUACUGGAAAAAGAGUGGCAUUUUGUAUAGAAGGAAAAGGCAAUUAGCAGCACUCAGAGAACAGUGCGAUUCUGUCGGAGUGUCAACCUUUGACCACACUGUUCAUGGGAAGUUUUAGUCCUUCUUCUAUUUGUCCUCUAGGAUGAGAUGAAAUUGUGAUUCAUGUGCUGAUAUUCUCAUUUAUUUUUAGAUGCGGUUGAAUCUGCCAUCGACGAUACAUCUGCCAUCGACGUAGAAGACCAUAUCGCUUCUUCUUCUAGUUCUAGUCGGUGAAAAUUACCAUGAAAUGUAGGUAUUGUUUUUUAUUCUUUCGACGGUGUCUUGCCCGCGCAACGUGUGUAAGAAGGAGAAAAAGCAUAGCUUCGAUGUGUUCGAUUGUUGUGUCAAAAAACUUAUCGAAAGUCAACGAAUAAAAGUCUAAAAAAUUUUGAACGAAUAA